UCUGGCAUCUCUGGUAUUUUCAAGUGUGAGAUAUUAAGAGUAAACAUGUCUAACGAGGAUAUGAAACGCGUUUUCGCUAAUAUCAGGGUUCCUGUGCAUUCAAUUCAAAUAUUCCCUAAUGUCGAUACCAUUUUGAAUUCUAGUGCGGGAUUGCAGCUAAUUUCUUCGAAAAUCCAUGGAACAAGUGGAAGAAAUAUUUCGCAGAGUAUAUGAGUGGCGUAACAUAGAUAUUGUCAGAGCAAUACUGAUCGAACUGGAACUUCCGUUCUCAUUUCUUGAAAUAUGGAUUGAUUCCUCGUUUACUGUGUUUGAUUUACAAUCGAUCUCGUUGGACGAACUCGAAUUAGUUCAUCACAGGUAAAAACUUUAACCCAGAAGAAAUAUUUAGACGACUAAUCGAAUGGAGGAGUAAUAAGAUCUAUGCCGAAGGUUAAAAAGUAGCUGUUUAUACUGUAAUAAUUUCACCUAGAUAUGAUGGAUUGUUUUCAAUAUAUUCUUGUUGAAAUAUAUAACAA